CAGUCGUCCAUUAUAGUGAACAUGGAUGUACUUUGGGUCUAAACCAGGUCUGGUCCACUCCACUGUCUCAGAACUGGCACUGAUUGGAGGAUCAAGGUAACAUGGUAGAAUGACAUCAUCACCAGCCAGGGCUACGAUUGGUUGA